CAACAUUUCCUGGACGAUCGGGCAAAGAGGAAGAGACGACCCGUUUGUUUGGUCACUUCACCCACUUUUACUUCCGAUAUUCAGUAUUCAAUACCGAAUAUGACUGUUUGGAUAUGUCACCUGUGUCCUCUCCUGUGGGCAGCAACCGCGCUCUGUGUUGUGAAAGAUUGCAGUAAUCGUAUAUCCAUAGUUGGUGUUGAAAGAGAAGAUAUUGUUUUGGCACCAUCAGUUUCAGGCAAUGGCAGCCUAACAAGAAUUUAUUGGAAGAAAGGAGAAGAUAUAGUGGUUGGCUCCAGGUUCAGUAUUCCUUCUGAAAAGGAAAAACAAAGAUGGAGUUUUGAUGCUUCCUCUGGCAAUUUGUCUCUCAAAAACCUUUCAAAGGAGGAUACUGGAACUUACACAGCAAAAAUUUUCAUUAACGAGGAAAUGAAAGAAACCUGUUUUGAUCUGAAAAUACUAGUACGGCCUGAUAUAAAUUGCACUGUUAACAAUGAUACCAUUCAAUUAAACUGUACAUCAGCAAGUCAGGAUCUACCCCUGGCAUACUCCUGGGAUGUCAACGGAAAUGAAGAAAUAAUCUCUGAGAAGAAUUCGGUUAUUCAGCUUCAGAGGAACUCAAACCAUUUUCAGAAAAUUACAUGUUAUGUUGUAGCUUCCAAUUCAAACGCCAGCAAUUUCAUCAAUCUGAGUGAUUGUAUUAUACCGGUAGAAGUGAAGUAUCUGAAAACACGGAGAAAAAGAACCUUUAAUGAAUCAGAAUCUGCAGCAAAGAAUGCAAGAGGAAAUUAUAAGGAAGAGAGUUCUGAGUUGCCAGAAUAAGAAAGAAAGUCACUUACUAAAUCUGAAUUGGAGAGUAUGGGAAAAAGAGAAGAACGUGAAGAAACUUCUAGGCUUGAAUCUUGAAAGGAGACAGAGGUGAUUUUUUUUCAAGGAUGAAAGGUGACAACACAAAAGUACCUCUGCAGCCUCUGUUCAGUCCAAUUCAUACAUUACCUCAUUUUAUCAAUUUUGCUGAAUUGUAAUUGGUUUUAUGUUGCUUUUCAACUGUUUUUAUUUUAUUCAUAUCAUGUUCUAAUUUAUUAUGGAAUUUUAAAUAGCUAUGGACUGCUUUAUUUAUUUCAUGACCUCUUUUAUGAACCACUGUGAAAACAAACAAGAGACAGUAAGAAAAUGAACAAAAGAAAGAAGAGAUAUAGAAUAAACUCAGAAUUGUUGUCUCCUUCAAAACCAUUGAAUCAGCCUAAAAUUGCUGAAUAUUUAGCAACAAAAAGCAAGCAAGCAAACAAACAAAAAACACCAGUGGGUACAGUCAGUAAUAAAAUAAACCAAGAAGUUCCAAUGAUGUUUUUAAUUGGCUGUGAUGUUCUGGAAUGGGAUUUCAAAACUGAGACUGAGCACACCAGCAAGCUAGAUCUUUCUUCCUCUCUGGGAAGAAUCCUACCAACUGAAUGAUUUAACAGCAGAGCUUCACCCUGAGGUUGAUAAACCUCUUGCCACGCUCUUCAUAUUUUUCUAAAGCAGGUCAACUUGAAUAUUUAAGAAAGGAAUAAGUCCAUAACAAGACAAUGCCUUCUAACUGCACAGUCAUUUCUAUGUUUGAGCUAUUGUCAGUAAUAAAUAAAUAAUAACAUGAAUACUUUUUUUUUGGGGGGGGGGGAAUCUUUGAAAGAGCUAAUCAAAAUAAUUCAAACAAAUCAAAAUUGUACAUGGGAUGGAGCCAGGAGAUGGAAGAAUUCUGAUGUUAAGAAUUGGACAUGACAACCCCUGCCUGUUUCUUGGUUUCCAUGUAACUUUACAAAAGCCACCAUCCUUACCAUAUUUUUUCUGCCUAUUUUUAAUAGUCCUGAACAGUUCCUCACUCUUUUACACCAAUUUGUAUAUGAGGCUUUGAAGACCAAAUUCUUUUAUAUUUAACCUUUUCAUAUUUAAUGCCUCUUUCUAAUAUGUUUGCACUAAUAUUCAUAAAGAUGUGACUUUUUCAAGAAUUAUAAAGUAUGCCAGAAAUGAAACAUUUGUAUUAUUUUUUUUACUAAAGCUCAUAUGGUUUUUCAGAGAUAUAUGGGUUUUUUUAUUUUAUAAACAUUGCACUGGUUAGCACUGAUAGUUUUGAAAUUUAAAAUGUUUGUAAAGCUGGUUACUAGUUCUCAUAAUUAUGGGAAAAAUCUCAAAUCUAGGUUUCUGCUGCUCAGGUGCCAUGAUGAAUUGGACAGCAGUUACCUUUUUCCUCCACUGUAUUGCUACACUGUUCCCUACAGGAUGCACACUUCGCUCUCUAAAUGAUGCAUUGGCUUAUGGAUGCCAAGUGCCAAUUUGACAGGGCAGUGUACUGAUUUACUUUAUUAUCUUAGUCCUCCACCAGUUUAAAUGAUCACUCAUCUUUUGACUAUUGUUUAAUAAUUCAGUAGAAAAUGUUUGUCUUUCUUCACUUACUGUAUAGCUAUUGCAAUAAUUAAUUAUGGGUCUGAAGUCAAAAGGACAAGAGAACAGGUUUUUGCAUCUGUAAUGUGAAAGAACAGCCCAAAAUUGGAGUUAUUUCAAAGAGGAGAAAGAUGAGAUUAGACCUUUAAAAUCACUUCCAACAAUAUGAUUCCAUAAGAUAAAAAAGCAUGACAUAAGAAAGGGAGAUAUAGACAAAUCUCAUUAUAUGGCACCAUACCUCUCCAUAUUUUUGUGCAGGAAACAAUACAAAUAAAAGAAAAGGAAGGGAGAAAAAAUAAUUAAAGAAAUGACUUUCAAAUUUUAUUACAGCAGCUACAAUUAAAAUGGCACUUUGGGUUUUUAUUAAGGGAUGCUGGUGCUUGGAUAGUAAUCAAUACAGAAAUUCUAUAAAUCUCCCCUCCCCCCCCCUUAACUCUGGGAGUAUGAGUGAUAGAAAGAGUAGAGGAAUAAACAAGCGUGUUUGUGCAUACGUGCAUA